UCACACUUUUGUUACAGUUUCUCAUAGCACCUUCAAUACUUUACUGAUCUCUUUCAUAUUUGGCAUGUUGAUACCUUGCAUGGACCUCUACCUUUUGAUGACGUUUGAGGUCACUGGGGUCAAGGUCACCAAGGCUAAUAAUAGACUUUUGUUACAGUUUCUCAUAGCACCUUCACUACUUUACCGAUCUCUUUCAUAUUUGGCAUGUAGAUACCUUGCAUGGACCUCUACCUUUUGAUGACGUUUGAGGUCACUGGGGUCAAGGUCACCAAGGCUUAUAAUAGACUUUUGUUACAGUUUCUCAUAGCACCUUCAAUACUUUACCGAUCUCUUUCAUAUUUGGCAUGUAGAUACCUUGCAUGGACCUCUACCUUUUGAUGACAUUUGAGGUCACUGGGGUCAAGGUCACCAAGGCUAAUAAUAGAUUUUUCCGUCACACUUUUGUUACAGUUUCUCAUAGCACCUUCAAUACUUUACCGAUCUCUUUCAUAUUUGGCAUGUAGGUACCUUGCAUGGACCUCUACCUUUUGAUGACGUUUGAGGUCACUGGGGUCAAGGUCACCUAGGCUAAUAAUAGAUUUUUCCGUCACAC